rnacentral:lncRNA from 1 species
AGAGACCCAAAUUUUGAUGUUCAUACCAUUAAUGACUAGUAUUACGAUCAAACCGAAAUGUGUUUGGCCGAAUUAAUUAAAGGAGACGCGUAUACUUGUCCUAUAAUGGCUAAGCCUAGAUCGUCGGGCAAGGAUGAGCCUAUAAAAGAUGAAAACAAGAAGGCUAGAACGUUCUCGUUCGAUGUAACCAAAUCUGACCUUAUAUUUGAUAAACUAUAUAAGGAUAAGCAGAUAAAGCUGAGCGAUAAACA